GAAUAUCUAUUUUGUCCCCUUCAAAGUAAUUCCUCGGCGGAAGAGGACCUUAAUUGGUCCUAGAACGGCCUGAGGUAGAGGGAUUUUAGGAUUUUAGUCGGUAGGUCCGAGGACUUCUUCCUCGGGAAUCCGACACUACCCAGUCGUACGGACGGCUGAGUGUCUUUUGAAGAUUUCCCCUCUUCCACGAAA
rfam:Agrilus planipennis Contig3726, whole genome shotgun sequence.